UACGGGGGGGGCAAGCGUUGUUCGGAAUUACUGGGCGUAAAGGGCUCGUAGGUGGCCAACUAAGUCAGACGUGAAAUCCCCAGGCUCAACUUGGGAACUGCGUCUGAUACUGGAUGGCUUGAAUUCGGGAGAGGGAUGCAGAAUUCCAGGUGUAGCGGUGAAAUGCGUAGAUAUUCGGAAGAACACCGGUGGCGAAGGCGGGUCUCUGGGCCGAAAUUGACGCUGAGGAGCGAAAGCGUGGGGAGCAAACAGG
rnacentral:rRNA from 1 species